AACGAACGCUGGCGGCAGGCUUAACACAUGCAAGUCGAACGCCCCGCAAGGGGAGUGGCAGACGGGUGAGUAACGCGUGGGGAAUCUACCUAGUUCUACGGAACAACUGAGGGAAACUUCAGCUAAUACCGUAUACGCCCUACGGGGGAAAGAUUUAUCGGAAUUAGAUGAGCCCGCGUAAGAUUAGCUAGUUGGUGGGG
rnacentral:rRNA from 1 species